GCCGCUAUAGCUCAGCUGGGAGAGCGUCAGACUGAAGAUCUGAAGGUCCCCGGUUCGAUCCCGGGUGGCGGCA
rnacentral:tRNA from 1 species